rnacentral:misc_RNA from 1 species
GCCAACCACAAGGUGGGGUCUGAGAUUUUGGCAGCAUAAAAUAGAGAGAUAAAACGGAAGACUGUCAACAGCUUAAAAAAGCAUCUAAUCUGGCACCAGUAAUCAAACCAAUAAUGAAACAAGAAUGAAAUAAAACCCAUUAACAUUAUAGGGAGAAAGCGCAACCAACUUUGGAGCAAGAACAAAUUUGACAUUUUCCAGGAUUUUAAGAAAGAAAUCUGUCACACCAAACCCUGGCAGCCUGUAAAGAAAAGUGCAGUGCACUAAUAUGAAGGUUUAUCAUGUGACCAUCUUAAUGAAACAUUAAGAUUUCUACUAGUCUUCCACCAAAGUUGAUAACUAAAAUGAUGGCUCUUGUUUAACUUGGCAUUUAUAUGAUUACAUCAAAAUAGUAAGUGCAUUACAUGCAUAAUUUAAAUUGAAAAAAUAUUACAUGGAGAAUGCAGUGCCACUAGACCCCUAAACUUGAAAAUUGGAUGAAAUCGAAUUCUUCAGACUCAGAAAUACAUUGAGCUCACCCUGAUAUCUCACAAUAGGGAUUGAUGCUGACAGGAGAGAUACCUCUAAAAAAUAAUGAUUAAACAAGUAAUUUUUAUAAAUUCAUCAAUGAUAAACUUCCAGAACAUUAACAACAUGAGAAAGAAGACUUGCCUG